rnacentral:rRNA from 1 species
GGGGCAAGCGUUGUCCGGAAUCAUUGGGCGUAAAGCGCGCGUAGGCGGCCCGGUAAGUCCGUUGUGAAAGUCAAAGGCUCAACCUUUGAACGCCGAUGGAUACUGCCGGGCUAGAGUCCGGAAGAGGCGAGUGGAAUUCCUGGUGUAGCGGUGGAAUGCGCAGAUAUCAGGAGGAACACCAAUAGCGAAGGCAGCUCGCUGGGACGGUACUGACGCUGAGGAGCGAAAGCGUGGGGAGCGAACAGG